rnacentral:rRNA from 1 species
UACGAAGGGGGCUAGCGUUGCUCUGAAUCACUGGGCGUAAAGGGCGCGUAGGCGGCCUGAUAAGUAGGGGGUGAAAUCCUGCGGCUUAACCGCAGGGCUGCCUUCUAAACUGUCAGGCUCGAGCACAGUAGAGGCAGGUGGAAUUCCCGGUGUAGCAGUGGAAUGCGUAGAGAUCGGGAAGAACAUCAGUGGCGAAGGCGGCCUGCUGGGCUGUUGCUGACGCUGAGGCGCGACAGCGUGGGGAGCAAGCAGG